AUGUUUAUAGUAUAUUUAAUACCUUAGAUUUUCAUUCUAAUAAUUUGUCUAACACCCAAUAAACAUU
rnacentral:tRNA from 1 species